rnacentral:lncRNA from 1 species
CAGGGUAAGGCCUAGUGAAAAUAAAAAGGGGAAGUCNNNNNNNNNNNNNNNNNNNNNNNNNNNNNNNNNNNNNNNNNUCCCACGCCUGCUUCGCGAGGCUGGAUGCCCAUCGCCUCGGGGUCACGGCGUCGUCAUCUGUUUGCCAAGGAAAAUACCCUAGUCUUGACUUUGUAGCUUUAGAGACCCCUCUGGGUUGCUUGGGAACAUGAGUGGACGCGCCCGUGUGAGGGCACGAGGCAUGGCCCGCAGCCCUGACUCCCUGUCGGUGCAGUGCACCCAGACCUCGCCCUCGGGAAUGCUCACACCAGUUGAUCUUAGUGACAGUGAAGCAUCCUUUAGCGGUGAUGUGGAGGGAACAAGCAGGAUUUCACAGCCUUGUAACAAAGGUGUAUCUUCUGGUGAUGUUGGGAGUACCUUUGUAGAAAAAAGUGUGAAAAUAAGACAGGACUGUAUGGACUUGGGUGUCUGUACCAGGGAGAAAUGGGCACAUGUGAGAGACAGCAAAACAGGUUCCAGUGGAAUACCUGUGAAACUGGCUACAAAUCUCUUUAAUUUAGACUUGCCCCAGGACUGGCAGCUAUAUCAGUACCAUGUGACGUAUAUUCCAGAUUUAGCAUCUAGAAGGCUGAGGAUUGCUUUGCUUUAUAAUCAUAGCAAACUUUCUAACCAUGCAAAAGCAUUCGAUGGUACCAUCCUUUUUCUCUCACAAAAGCUAGAAGAAAAGGUCAUAGAAUUAUCAACUGAAACUCAAAGAGGUGAGACUGUAAAGAUGACUGUUACUCUAACGAGGGAGCUGCCCUCAAGCUCCCCCAUGUGCAUUCAGGUCUUCAAUAUCAUCUUCAAAAAGUAAGGCAUUUUAAAUAGGAAUUUAAUUUGAGCUAAUGGUGCCUUUUAGGAUAGAACCUGGGUUUUAAAAUGAUCAACCAUUUUGUAGGCAGUGUGCCAGCAACAGUGCCAUUUAGGACAAUUUUUC